rnacentral:rRNA from 1 species
UUUCAGAUUGGAACGCUGGCAGCAGGGCCUAACCCCUGCAAGUCGAGCGGAUGGCUGGAGCUGCUCCUGGAUUCAGCGGCGGACGGGUGAAGUGUCACCCGGGAAUCUGCCUGGUAGGGGAUUACGGUCGGAAACGGGCGCUAAUACCACCUGCUACGUCCUGAGGGAGAAAGUGGGGAUCUUCGGACCUCACCGCCAUCAGAUGAGCCUAGGUCGGAUUACUAGCUAGUUGGUGGGUAAAGGCCUACCAAGGCGACGAUCCGUAACUGGUCUGAGGAUGAUCAGUCCACUGGGAACUGAGGACACGGUCCAGACUCCGCUUUGAGGCAGGCAGUGGGAAUAUUGGACAAUGGGCGAAAGCCUGAUCCAGCCAUGCCGCAUGGCGGGAAGGUCUUCGAUUGCAGCACUUUAAGUUGAGGAAGGCAGGUUAAAUUGCUGUUUGACGUUCGCCAGAAUGGCACCGGCUAACUUCAGCCAGCAGCCGCGGUAAUGAAGGUGCAAGCGUUAAUCGAAUACUGGGCGUAAAGCGCGUAGGUAAGGUUCAGCAAGUUGGAUGAAAUCCCCGGGCUCAACCUGGGAACUGCAUCCAAAACCACUGGCUGAAGUACGGUAGAGGUGGUGGAAAUUUCCUGUGUAGCGGUGAAACGCGCAGAUAGGAAGGAACACCAGUGGCGAAGGCGACCACCGGACCGCUGAUACUGACACUGAGGUGCGAAAAGCGUAGAGCAAACAGGAUUAGAUCACCUGGUAGUCCACGCCGUACGAUGUCGACCAGCCGUCAGUCCUGAGAUCAGUGGCGCAGCUAACGCGAUAAGUCGACCGCCUGGGGAGAGUACGGCCGCAAGGUUAAACUCAAAUGAAUUGACGGGGCCCGCACAAGCGGGUGGAGCAUGUGGAAUUCGAAGCAACGCGAAGAACCUUACCUGGCCUUGACAUGCUGAGAACUUUCCAGGAUGGAUCGGUGCCUUCGGGAACUCGGCACAGGUGCCGCAUGGCUGUCGUCAGCUCGUGUCGUAAGAUGUUGAAGUCCCGUAACGAGCGCAACCCUUGUCCUUAGUUAAGCACCCGGGUGGGCACUCCUAAGAGGCCUGCCGGUGACAAACCGGAGGAAGGUGGGAUGACGUCAGUCAUCGCGGCCUUUACGGCCAGGGCGCACGUGCUACAAUGGUCGGCAAAGGUUAAAGCCGCGAGGUGGAGCUAAUCCCGCCAAAACCGAUCGUAGUCCGGAUCGCAGUCUACCGCUCAUUGCGAAGUCGGAAUCGCUAGUAAUCGUGAAUCAGAAUGUCACGGUGAAUGCGCGGGCCUUGCACACCGCCCGUCACACCAUGGAGUGGGUUGCUCCAGAAGUAGCUAGUCUAACCGCAAGGGGACGGUUACCACGAGUGAUUCACUGACU